rnacentral:lncRNA from 1 species
UAUAUGAUAACUAAAAUUUUGUUCAGAUAAAAAAGUAUAUGCACAACUAUAUAUAGGAUAGCACAGGAAUUAUCCAUGCUUUUUAUACUUUUGUUUUAUUUUAUUUUUGUUGUUGUUGCUAAAAAAGCAGAAGAAUUUGCACUUUCAUUUGGAUUCUGAGACAGAAGGAAAAUGGGGUAUAAUUUUGCAACUUGGUCUCUACACCUUUAAUUUCAUUAUUAUCAUACAGUUUGCGACUGUUAAAGGCUAAACUAUUAAAAUGAUCAAAAGUUUUAUCGUAUAUAGGAUAAAAUGUUGGUCAUUUUAUAGAAAAGUUUAGGCGAAUUUUAUGGUGAGAGACUAAAUUGAAAUAUACAAAAAAUUAUAAAGAGUUACAUGUUGAAGUUAAAAAGUUCAGGAACUAAGUCACAAUACAGAAUAUAUAGUAUAUAUAGGGGGUAUCCAUACAUUUUAUCCACAGAAAUAUUCUUAGCUUUCUUAUCUAGAGUAAGAGCACCAUAGAAAAUUUAUUAUUUAUGACAAUUGAUUUAGCUCUCUCAGUACACAUUUAUUGUUUGUAUGGGGUUAUAUUUAUUGUUCUUUUACUUGGGUGUGAAGUGGGUACAACUACCUUUUGCAAACCUUUAAUGUGUUGAUCACAAGACAUAUAUGUGUUUUAUACUUUAUACUUAGUAUUCAUGUCCUUUCGAUCAGGAGGAUUCUAAGAUUACAAUCCAAAAUGGGUUAUAGUUCUAGCGCUAUUAUAUAAUUUAUAAGGCAUAUUAUAGGCAACAAUGAUAAGAACAAAAGUGGAACUUUUUCGAUGGUUUAGGGUGUGUUUGGUUCGCUUCUUUUUUACCCUGGAAUCGGAAACGGAAUGGAUAAAUCCGUUUGUGGGUGUUUGGUACGCGGGAGUUCCAUUCCGAUUCCGAUUCCCGAGUGGAAUGGGAAUUCUCCAAUCACCUCUUUUUCAAUCCGGCCUAGGAGGCCGGAUUGAAAGUUGAAUCCGGACGGAAUGGAUAUUUAUUCGGAUUAAAUUUAUUUUUUCAACUUUUUUAAUUAAAAUAUGAGUUAAAAUUUUAAAAUUAAAUAUAUAGUUUUAANGGGCUAGCUCGGCGGGCGGAAGGCGUCCCCUGCGAUGAGCUUUUUGUUGUUUUUAUAUAAUAUUUCUUAAUUCAUCUUAUAUACUUAUAUAAGAAUGAAAAUAUAGUAUUUUUUUCAGAAACAAUCCAAACACCUAAAACAGAGGUGUUUUUUAAUAGAGUAUGGAGUAUUUCAGCAUAUCAAAUACACUGUAAAAUAAAAUUUUGUUUUAUUUCACAACAAUUGCCAAACAGACCCUUAUUAUAAAGAUAAAGUUAAUAUAUUAAUCUGAUUAUGUUUUUUAUAUUUACCUGAACCAAACACCGACAAUGGGAAUGAUUUAUUCCGAUUCCGAUUCAGGUGAUGAACCAAACAAAAUUAGGUAAUGAGUCAUUCCGAUUCCGAUUCCAGCUUAUUUUGAUUCCGAUUCCGAUUUCGAUUCCGACUUCGAACCAAACGCGAAUGUUGAGAUUGAAAAUUGGCGAAAAGUUUGGAGACCAGUGGUGUAAUCUACCAUAAUAAUUAAUUUGGCUUUUACUAUACUGUUGUUGAUCACUGUUGCAUGGUUGGUUCAAUAAUACAGCAUACGAAGCAAUGGAAGUUUUAUGGUAAACUGGUGGGGAUUGUCUAAGGAUGAUGUGAUCUGUCACACACUUUGCUGGUAAUUAAUUAAUGUUUUCAUAAUCAUGAACAUGUUAUGUGUAUGUGGAUUUCUCAAAUAGCAAUUCUAGGUGCAUCGAAGUCAACCAAAAAAAAGGAAAAAAUUCAGCUGAGUAGACAACAUUAGGAGAGAGAGUCUCAAGGUUUGAUUAAGUCCUGUUAAAUAUAAAAAAUGUUUAAACACCGUUCUUUAACAGCUUAAGCUUUUAGAGUACAACGGUUGUUUCACAUGGUAUCAGAGCAGGAGGUCCUGAGUUCGAGUCACGCCAGGCUCCUAGCAUAUUAAUUUCCUCCCAUUUAAUUCAAGCCCACGUCAUGGGCCGAUUAAAAAGUCUCGAGCCCAGACGUGAGGGGGAGUUUAACAGCUUAAGCUUUUAGAGUACAACGGUUGUUUCACAAGUCCCGUUUGUUUUGGUGUAAGUGGAGGGGUGGAACUUAAAAUCUAUUACUUUCGAUAUUUAUUUUAGUGUAAGUCAAAAAUAUAGUACUGUAACUCAAGUUACGUUAGAUCUCCACUUCAUCUAUUCUCGACUUCUCCCUCUAAAGUGCCGAACUCGACUUCUGUCACACUCAACCUUCUCUAACUAAUUUAUUAAAUAGUAAAAUCUAAACUCUAUUUUUUUUAUAAUGGGUUAGAAUUAUCUUAUUUACAGUAAAUUAGGAUUAGCUUUAAAUAAUAAUGAAAAUUUUAAUUAUUUAAUAAGUUAAAUUUUAUAGUGGUAAGUUUAUCACUAUAUUCAGGAGAUAACGGGAUCCACUUACUUAUAUCAAAAUAAAUAAUGAAACUUAAAAAAUUAAUUUCACCGGUACCAAGUUAUAUCAAAAUAAACAGAAGAAGUAAUUGAAUUUAACUUUCAGACUGUACAAGUUACGUCAAAACAAAUAAUAAAAAAAUAACCACACUUAAGGAAAACUCAAAUACCACUGUACUUCAGCAUAUGGAGUAAUUAAUGCUAGGGUACCUUAGAAUGUUCCCAAAAUGCAUUCGGUGGAUCAACUUUUCAUAUGUGAUAUCUUGUUAGAUACCAUUUGGUAUGGGCAUUGCUGUGGGUGGAACAGCUUGUUCCCACCCAUAGCAUGGAAUAGGAGUGGAAACAAAAAAAUAUUCCCACCCUAAAAUUUUUUUAAAAAAAUCUAAAAUUUUAAAAAAAUUAAAUUUAAAAUUUUAUAAUUAAAUUAAAUUAAAUUAAAAAUCUCAAUAUUAAACUUUAUAAUUUUAAAUUUUAAAUUUAAUUUUUUUAAAUUUAAAUUUUAUAUUUUUAAAUUUAAAUUUUAUUUAAAAUUUAAAAUUUAAAAUUUAAAAUACUAACUUUUUUAAUUUAAAUUUUAAAUUAUAAUUUUGAAAUUUGAAAUUUAAAUUUUAAAUUUUAAAUUUGAAAUUUAAAAUUUGCUAUUUGAAAUUUCAAUUUUGGAUUUUAAAAUUUAAAAGUUAAAAUUUAAAUUAAAAAAUAUAAAUAAAAAAUUUAAAAACUUAAAUUCAAAUAUAAUAUAAGAGGUAAUAUUAUUAUUUUCUAUUUAUAACUGCCAACUAUUCCUCUUAUUCCAUCUUAUCUUUUCAAACGCUAUUUUUCUUAUUCCCAAGAACAACCUAAUUUUAAUCCAAACGCAAAAUUGAUCUAGUUCUCUCUUGUACUAGAAUUUAUAUCUGUUUCUGAAAUAAACAAUUCUUACUUAUACUUGAACCAAACAAAGCCUCGGUGAUUUAACUUUUCAAAAUUGAUGUCUAGCUCAUGUGUCAUGUCUUGAAUUAUACCAACCAAACAACUUAAUUACCGUCUUUUAUGCAGAAACUGUGUUUUGAGUAGCUCCUUAGCAUGGAUUUAAGUGCGUGGCACGGGAUCGUAUAAGAAACUUGCUGGCAUGAUAUGACACGGUGCAUUCCAAGGCAAAGAAAAUGAUGCCAUAAUGGGCCUACUUAGGUCUCAAUGGGCCUGGUUUUAUGGGCCUUCUAAGCUAAAAUCUUCGUUGGGCCGUAUAAAUUUCUUAGGGAUGAUCAGUCUUUAUCAGUCUCUUUUUAUUGAAUGAUUUCUUGAUUAUUGGUUUCCAGCUGAUUAUCGCUUUAAAUUAAAUGUUUUACUCAGUUCAAACAAUAUAUUAACUUAAAAUAUUUACACAUUGUUUACAUACUAUUAGAGCACUAUUCUCUAUUAACUUAAAAAAGUAUCUAGAGACCACGCCGAUGCUGCGAAUUCAAAUCCCUCUAUAUACGCCCUUGGGGCAUGUCGGUUAUUUGAUUUAAAGUAAACAUGAUAAGGAAUGUUGUACACGUAAGUUUAAACCAAUCGUUCUUCAGUAGCUUAAGCUUGGAAUUGACAUGUUAAAGUUCUGGAUGGUAUGCAUGAAAAAUAGAGUUUAUAGCACGCAACAGUGUUUUAGAAGUUAAAUUUGAAUGUAAGUAUCUCCUAGUUUAUGUUGUUUCUGAAACAGUACAAAAUCUGGUGUGAUCUCUCCUGACCUACUUGUUUUUUUCACUUAUUCACCAACUUUGCACGGGUAUUUGAACAAUUUCACACAUUUGCAAGGCUACAUACGGCGCAAUUUCUUGUAGUAAGUGCGCGAAACUUUCGAUUCCUGCUAUAACUUGUUAGUAUGCUCGUCUCAGGUGGCGUGUAUUCGUCGCUAGAUUGGUCUGAAGAGGAAUGGAACAUAAAUAUGACCACCAAUCUAACCGGCUUGUGGCUGGUGUCGAAAUACGUAUGCAGAAGGAUGCGCGAUGCGAAGCAGAAAGGCUCGGUGAUUAACAUUUCGUCGAUCGCUGGUCUCGAACGAGGACAACUGCCCAGAGGAGUCGCCUAUUCCGCCUCAAAAGCCGGUGUUAAUUCCGUCACCAAGGUAACAUUGAUCUGAACUUGAAACUCUGGCAUUAGCUUGAGAUUCUCUUUUCGCAGUUCACCGGAAGCAUAGAUUGAUAUGAUAGAGAUUCGUUCUUAACUUAAACUCGGUGAAUCGAAACAAAGUGAUUCGAUUUCCAUUUGAAAUGUGUGACAAUGGCGAAUCGAAACGACAAUUCUAGCCCAUCAUUUACUGCGCGCGCAGUUCAGGUUUUAAGUUCAAAGCAGGAACUAAAUGUAAAUUAAAACAUCAAGUUUAAAUUUAAGUUUUAUUGGCUUAAUUUGCAGGUGAUGGCAUUGGAGCUGGGGGUGCACAAUAUAAGAGUGAACUCUAUAAGCCCAGGCUUGUUUAAAUCUGAGAUAACAGAGGGUCUCAUGCAAAAGCAGUGGCUGAGCAACAUCGCGACGAAGACCGUCCCGUUGAGGACGUUCGGAACAUCGAACCCGGCGGUGACGUCUCUCGUGUGGUAUCUCAUCGACGACUCCUCGGAGUAUGUCACGGGCAACGUCUUCAUCGUCGACGCCGGGGCCACGCUACCGGGUGUCCCCAUUUUCUCCUCUCUAUAGUCCUUUAUGCAUGACUUGUUUUUGACUAUUGUGGGGAAUUUGGAAGUAAUUUUAUUAUAUUUUCUUUGGUGUUCAAUGUGAAAGGAGGAUGAAUCGUUUGAAAUUUCUCUAUAUAUGAAUGGGUUACAAUUGCAAGAACUAUGGCAUAGAAAUGUAGACAUGUUAAGUACUUUUUCGAAGAAGUUACACGAUUGAACUGAUGUAAGAAGAAGGAUCAGGCGGAACGGCGACGGCGACCGCGCCCUCGAGCAUCUGAGCCACUUUCCGCAUCGACGGCCUCAGCGAUGGCUCCUCCUGAAUGCACCAGAUAGCUACCAUUACAAAUCUCUCCACUCUCCUUAUGUCGAACAUCGCCUCCUCAUCGCUGUCCACCAGGAGGUCCAGUCUGCCAUCCUUAAAGCAAUCGUAAGCCCAAUAUGCAAGCACUGUUGUCUCCUCCGUUGCUGCCUCCGUCUGAACAUUCUUCCUGCAACAUACGAUCUCUAGUAGCAAGAUACCAAAGCUAUAGACAUCGACCUUCGCAGUGACCGCCGAGUUCUUGAACCACUCGGGUGCAACGUACCCUUUGGUUCCUCUGAUGGCCGUGUUGGUUCGAGUCUGGUCGGCGCGAAGGAGCUUCGCGAGCCCGAAGUCUGAUAUCUUGGGGAUGAAAUUAUCCCCGAGCAGUAUGUUCUGAGACUUGAUGUCGCAAUGAAUGAUCUGGGUAGUACACUCUUCAUGCAAGUACAAAAGACCUCUUGCUAUCCCCAAUACUAUCUGGGCCCUUUUGUUCCACUCAGGCCGGGUGCAUCCGAAAAGAAAGCUUGUUAGCGAGCCAUUGCUCAUGUACUCGUACACCAGCAUUCGAUGGUUCCCCUCGUUGCAGAAUCCGAGUAGCUUGACUAAAUUUUUGUGAUGGGUUUGUGCGAUCGACCGCACCUCGUUCGUGAACUCUUGCUCGGAUUCCUUGGCCGCCGCCCGAUCCAGCUUCUUCACGGCAAUGGCCAUGUGGAAUUCCGCGGCUAAGGCCCCCUUGUAUACUAUGCCGAAACCUCCGCUGCCGAGCUCUUCUCGAAAGUUGUCGGUGGCUUCUUCCAAUUCUUUGUAUGUGAAGACUCUUAGGUUCGACCGCAACAUGGUCUGCGCUAUUUGAUUCUUCUUAUUUUUCGUGCGAUUGCAAAAGGAGAAGGAAACGAUAGCCGCGGCGAUUAUGAAGAGCACGUUGAGGAAUCCGGAGCUACCCAAGAGGGCGGAGAUGACGAGGAUUAGUGUGUUCCGAUCCUUCUUCACUAUAGUUAUCGGAUUCUGCGGGCCCUGGUUAGGCAAGGAAGCAUCGGUUUUGGGCAUUUUGAUAAGAGCCUUCCCCCCUACACUCAUCCCUUGCUGACCAUUGGUUAAAGGCAUCUUCAUCUUCCAACAGUCCGGCAUCCGAAAGACGGCCACACUGCACAAGCAGUCGGCUAGGCAUGAUGCUCGACACAUGUCUUCAUCGGUUGGUGUGUAGUGCUCAUAGCUGUCCCCCGGCCAAUCCGUGUUUGGCAUCUCAAGGAACAAGUAUUGACUUCUCUGGUACUGUUCGCAGCUCUGCACGGCAAAGUCUGGUAUGCAGCCUAAGUACGUACGAUUUGUAUCGACGAACUUGCAUCCUAACGCGCACUCACAUUUGAGCUGCUUUGAUUGAUCAUCGUCGAGGCUGCAGUACGCAUUAAACCCGCAGGCGGCGGCGCCGCCGUCGCUGUCCGCCUGGAUUGUUUGGCAGAGGUUGGCAGGCAACAUUCCGACGGCGUUCCACUUGUCGGUCGACUUGGUAUUGUUGUUGUUUUUGGGGUAGAUAUAAAGGCGUAAUGCACCGUCUGGAUCUAGCGUGGCAUGUUGGUAGAAGUCGGUAGGGGAGUAUACAGCAGCUGAGGUGAGUGCGGUCUGGUUGUUGUUUUCGACCUGAUAAUAGAGCGAGCCGGAUGAGUUGAAAACGAGCUGUAACAUUUUGGCAUAUUGAGUACCGGAGGCCCAAUAUGCAUGGUAUUUGUGGCCGGUGGGGACGGCGACCGGGUAAAAGACCAAAUUGCCAUCUCCUUGGACUGCUAGCUCGAACCGACCUGGGGAGAAGUCCGAGUCGCUCAUUUUGGAUCGGAGUUCUGAGUUCUCGGCCAAGGACUGACCUGGGAGGAUCGUGUCGGUUGGAUUUUGAAAGCUUUGCCACGGAAAGGCUCCGCUGCUAUCAUAGAGAACGAGGUUCCCAGAGUCGAGGAGACUUACGCCGGUCGCAUUAGCUGCGUCUGGGCUCCAGACUUCCUGACCGUUCGAGUCGAAAAGUGAGAGCUGGCUGGCCUGGGUGAGUUGGAGGGUCGAUUUUGCGGGCACCUGCACCGGAUCGGUGUUGUUGGUGGCGAACCAAACGACGACUUGCGGUGAGGUGGCGUUGAACCACACGGCGAGAAGGAAGAGGGAGGAGUUGGCGUCAAGGGGCCAGAAGCCGAAUGCAAAGUCACCGGAUGGAGAGAAGAUGGAGGAGUUGGGCCCCGACGAGCUGAGACUGGAGCCCACGGUCAGGUUCUGAUAAGAUUUUGCCGCGACUAAUGAUAACCCUCGGCCGAGGAGGAGGAGGAGGAGGAAGAGGAAUAGAAGAGAAGGGUUCGUUGCAUCCGUAUCCAUGUUUAGUGGUGGUGGUGGUGGUGGUGGUGGUGGUGGUGGUUCUUCUCUUCCUCGGCUGCGGAGAGAGUAGAGUGUGGAAAGAUAUUAUAGAGGGCUAAACGUAUUGUUGACUUGACGGUUGACUUGGAGAAGAACACCACAAAAAAAUGAGUGGUGAACACCUAUGACGCGCAGUUAAGGCAACCGGAAAAAUGUACAAAGAGCUCCUAACCUUUAGUUUUCUAAAACUUUCAAUUUUAAUAAUUAGACUCUUUAAAACUGGUCAAAUAGUUUAAUAGAUUCAUUUCCUCAAUUAAAAUUACUAAUUAUAUAAUCAUUUUUUUUUUUUUUUUAUGUCUUGCUCAUAAUUUUAUAUGACUUUUAAAUUAUUAAAAAAAAUCUAUCUUUUACUUGUAAUUUUAUUGACUAAAUGUGAGGAUUGAAGCAUAGGAAUACGUAUCUAAUUUCGAGUUUUGUUCUCUUUUUAAUAUAAUAUUAGAAUAGAUUUUUUUUUUUUUUUUGUAUUUCAAAAUUUUAUGAGAUAAUAUGUAAGGCAUUUGAUUAGAAUAGUUGCAUAAUUAGUAACUUUAAUUAAGGAGAAGGAUGUGUUAAAUUAUUUGAUAAAAUUUAGGCCGUAUAUAUAAUUGUUAAGUUAAAAUUUCUAUACUUUUUUAUAAAAAGCUAAAGUUUCAUGGGCUUAUAAUUGUUAAAGGCUCACGCGUGGAGAGGGCUUUUUUUUGCAUUUAGCCUUCUGACAAAUUUUUAUUUUAAAAAUAACCUUGUUAAAAUUUAAUUUACAAAAAUGGCCUUAAGCCUGCCACGCAGGCGCUACGUCAGCGCCACGCGGGCGGAGCUGGGGGCGGUAGUUAAGUACAACACGGUGAACCAUUCACCGUGUUGUAUAUUAAAAAGAGGAAUAGAAAAUUUGUAUUCCAUUUCUUCUCUUUUUCAAAAAUCUGAACCCGAACCCGAAAAUUAAAUUAAAAUCCAAACUCGGAUCCGAAUCCGACGGAUUUUAAAAAUUCAUACUCAUAUCUAUAUCCGACCAAAAACUCGAAAUCCGAACCUGAACCCAGCGGGUUUUAAAAAUCUAUACCGUUGGAUGAAAAUCUAAGAAAUAAAAAUUAUUAAAUAUUUUAUAUAUUGUAUAAAUAAAUAAAAAUAAAUUAUGUAUAUAUAUAUAAUUUAUUCGGGUUUGGAUUCGGAUAAUAUUUCGGAUAUCCAUACCUAUUGACAUUCCCUACUCCCUAUUUCUCUUUUCAAUAUACAAAAAAUACGUACUAAACACGGUGAACUAUUCACCGUGUUUGAACACGGGGAAUGGUUCACCGUGUUCAACUUAACACACAGGCCCUAGCCCUGCCCGCGUGGUGCUGACGUGGCGCCUGUGUGGCAGGCCCAGAGCCAUUUUUGUAAAUUAAAUUUUGACAGGACUAAUUUUAAAAUAAAAAUUUGCCAGGGCUAAAUGCAAAAAAAGCCUCGCGUGGAGAAAUUGUUGUCUGCUAAAAUUUAAUUAAAAAAAUAUAAUUGUUAAAUUUAAUUAAAUAUAAUUUUGGCAUCCGGACAAAUUAUUAUCAUGUGAAGAAAUAAUACCUCAUUAAUAAAAAAAAUAAUAUAAUUAAAUAAUAUUAAGGCCAAUUUGGGUAAAAACUCUACAAGUUUUGAGCUUUUGCAAAACUGGACCACCUUUUUCGAUGUUUACAGAUUCGUACCGAAUUUUUAAAAAACUGACCAAAAUACUUAGUUUCCUUUCUUUCUCUUUUUUUUCUCUCGUUUUUUUUUUUUCCUCUUCGAAGAGGAGGCAAAGGCCCCCCCACGCCCUCGCACGUGUCCGCGCACCACCCGCCCUCCUUAACUCCGACCCUACCAAGGUUGCGCUCGCUGCCGCUCUUUCGGACGCCCUUCCUCGCCUCCGCCCUAUGCACCCUUGCCCGCCUCUUACCCUCCCCCCCCAUUCUCGCCUGCGACCCCGCCGAGGCUGCGCCACUAUCCUCUUUUUUUUUUUUUUUUCUUUUUUUUUUCUUUUUUUUUUUCUCUCCGAACCUCCUCCACCCCUUCCGUAGCCCUUCGCGACCCACCUCCACCUCCACCUCCACUACAGCAAAUUUUUCACCCACCAAACCCAUUUCUGAGAACUCGCCGUCCUCACCGCCACCGCCGAUGACGAAAAGAAAGCGCUUCUCAGCGCUAAGAAGCUCGCUGGCAGAGGAGGGGGCACGCGACCCACCACGCCCACCAAGGCCGGCGACGUGCGAGGUAGAGACAGAGGAGAGUGUGAUGACGCUGGAGAAGAUGGCAGGGCAGCGGCGAGUGCGGCUGUAACAUACCGAACUUCACAAAUCAUGAAGUCACGGUAUACAUUUAAAUGGUUCCGGUGCGGUUGCGGUGGAAUGUAACAUACCGGAUUUUAAAUAUAAAAGUGAAAAUAAAUAAAAAAUAGUAUGAGAUACUAAUUUAAAGUUUCAUAUUAUUCUGACACUCGUAGAGUGAGAAAUAGGAUCCGAAAGCUAUCUGAUAAAGAUUGCAGUUCGGUACAGUUUUCAGUGACCAAACGGGGUCGAAACUGAAAUAUUAAAAUUUCUUUGGACUUAUUNAAGAAGAACUAGAGAAAAAGGAAGAAGAAGAUGAAGUUGCAUUGUUAAGAUAAAGGUAUACUGUUUUAGAAGAACGUUACAUUAUUAUAAACAUAAGUUGCACUCUCUGAGAUAUAAACUACACCCUUUAAGAUGAAAGUUACACUCUUUAAACGAAAAUUGCACUCAUAGAGUGUAACUUUUCGUUUAAAGAGUAUAAUUUAUAUCUUAAAGGGUGUAGUUUACAUCUUUCUCUUAAAGAGUUUAACUUUCAUCUUAAAGGGUGUAGAUUACAUCUAUAACAGUGCAAUGUUUUUCUAAAAUAGUGCAAUUUCAUCUUUUUCUUCCUUUUUCUUUUGUUUUUUUUUUUCCUUAUUCUCUAAUUUUUGGCCUUUAGUUAAUUUUUUUUAUUUGCAGCAAACAAAAGUACUUGACCAAAGAUGCUCUUGUGCACCCCUCACCCUCUUCGCCUCCUCGCCUCCGAUCCCGCUGAGGCCGCGCUCGUAGCCGCUCGUCAUCGCGCUCUUCUCUGUCUCCACCUCACUCGUCGUCGGUCCAGUGGGAGCGGUGGGCCGCGUGCCCCCUCCUUCGCCAGCGAUCUUCUCAGUGCCGAGAAGCGCUUUCUCUUCAUCGUCGGUGGCGGUGGUGAGGACACGGGUUCCCAUAUGUGGAUUUGAUGGGUGAAAAAUCUGUUGCAGUGGAGAUGGAGGGCGAAGGCGAAGGAAGAGAAUGUGGUGUUGUUCUUGUUACCGUCAUGGAGGGCUGCAGAGGCGGUGGAGGAGGUUAGCGGGGGGUGAACGGGCGUGGGCGAGGGCACAUGGGGCAGAGGCGAGGAUAGGCGUCCCAAAGGGCGACGGUGAGUGCAGCCUUGGUGGGAUCGAAGGCGAGGAGGGCGGGUGGUGUGCGGACGCGGGCGAGGGCGUAAGGGGCAGAGGCGAGGCACGCCGUUCCUGCCUCCGCCUCCUUCUUCGGAGAGGGAAAAAAAGAACGAGAGAAAAAAAAAAGAGAGAGAGAAAGGAAUAAGGAUAUUUUGAUUCAUUUUUUGAAAAUUCGGUCCAAAUCUGUAAAAUUGAAAAAAAUGGUCCAAAUUUACAAAAGUUCAAAACUUGUGAUUUUUUAUGCAAAUUGGCCUAAUAUUAACUAUAUAAAACAGAAAAACGACGCGGCGGUGUAUUGAUUCUUGCCUGCCUAUCUUUAAUAUUUCAACGGCUAAAGUACACUUUGGUUUAAAGUGGCAGCUUUUAAUUUGAAUAUUUUAAAUUAUUAUAAUCGAAUCUUACAAUUCAAUUUAAUUGAUUUAGACUUAGUUUGGUAUUGAGACUUAUCUAACGUUAUUAUAUAAAAUUGAGUUGAGAAAAAGCAUAUAGUGAUAUGCUUCUACAUUGUCCGGUGGAACCGUAGAAAAUAUAUAAUAACCGAUUUAUCGCGAUAUGCGAAACGCAACAUACGAAUAGGGUAUUUUUCCAACGUACUUUCUCACAACACGUAACGCAAUCUUCCCGCAAUCCCCAACGAAGCCUUAAUAUUGGUGUGUCGUUCAGAUAGACAUAAUGCGGAAUAAAUUGAAAUCACACUAUUUCGGUAGAAUAAAUCAAAUAAAUCUUGAUAAAAUAGAUAACAACUGUUAAUGGAGCGUCCGAGAGUCAUUCUCUUGCGGCCGUGGAUAAUCAUCGCAACUCCAAGAAUUGCUCGCCACAAAUCUCUCCAAUAAGAUUGCACAAGGACUUUUUUUUAUUAUUUUUUUGUUGCAAUCUAUACCAAAAUAGCACAAAGACUUAUCUUUAUCAUUGUAAUUUACACACAUUUUUAAUGUAUUGCGAGUAAUUCUUGAGCAUCAACUUGUAGAAAAAGUCUAGAAUGUUACAGUCACAUUAACGAUGUAAUGUCUCCAGCGAAUUAAAUUGCAUCCCAGCGGUUCAUCCAUCCCAUUAUAAUUUUUUUUAAAAUAUAUUUUUAUUAUACUUUUUUUUUUUUUUUUUUUUUUGUGUUCUUUUGUUGUUAGCUUUUGAACUUUUUUAAAUUAAAUUACCUAUGCAUGCAAGCCGGCCUGCUUUUUUUUUUUUUUUUCUAAAGGAAGAGAUGCGAUUGAUUAGAUAUAAAUAAUAUAAUGUGGCUGCUACGUAGUAAACUUUCUCAAAUUUGUACAUGAUCGCUAUCAAAGUUACAACGAAAGGUUCAAAAAAGAAUAAAUUGAACGUUUGGUCCUCGAACUAUGGGAUAUAUGACACUUUAAUCGAAUUGAGCUCCUAUGCUUUUAAAAGUAUCAAGACAUUGGUGCUUGUAGAUUUUUAGCCAUUGGAUUAAGAGAUAUGCGGUUAGAAUGAUGUGGGCCUUCUAGGGUUGAGUGGGUGGUUGGUUGAAUAGUAUAAUCUAAUGGUUGAAAAUGAUCCGUAGAGUAAAUCUAAUGGUAAAAAACUUACAAACACCAAGUGCUUGGUGCUUUUACAAGCACCAUAGCUGGACUCCACUUUAAUCUUCAAAUUUUAAUUUAUUAUAGUUUCUGGCUUAAAUUUUCAGAAUUGUUAUAUUCAAAUCCCACAAUCUAAUUUAAUUGACUAAAUUUUAACACAUUAUUAAUGUAAAAAUUAUACGCUAUAUUAAUUAUUGGCACAUUAUUAAUCACAACACUACUACAUCACAUUUAUAUCAGCGAUAUAUCAAUAUUUAGUCAACUAAAUUAAAUUAUAGAACUUAUUUGUAGCAAUUCUGGAAAGUGAAGCGCAAAAUUGUAAUAAA